rnacentral:rRNA from 1 species
UAUUUUGCACAGGGGGGGAAACCCUGAUCCAGACGCCGCGCGUGUAAGAUAAAGGCUCGCGGCGUGUAACGCACUCUUCGCGGAGGAGAAAAGUUAUCGUCUAAUACGAGAUACUGCCGACGGUCUCUGCAGCAUAAGCACCGGCUAACCGUGUGCCAGCAGCCGCGGUAAUACGGAGGGUGCAAGCGUUAUCCGGAAUUACCGGGCGAAAGGGGUGCGUAGGCGUCCAGAUAGAUGAGUGGUAAAACCCCGCGGCUCAACCGGGAAAAGCAUUUGAAACUGGUGGGCUAGAGUAAAGGAGAGGAUAGUGGAAUUUCUUGUGUAGCGGUGAAAUGCGUAGAUAUAGGAAGGAACACCAGUGGCGAAGGCGACUACCUGGACUGAUACUGACACUGAGGUGCGAAAGCGUGGGGAGCAAAC